ACGUAAGAACCUACCUUUAGGAGGAGGAUAACAACUGGAAACGGUUGCUAAUACUCCAUAUGCUGAGGAGUGAAAGGGAACCCGCCUAAAGACGGGCUUGCGGCUGAUUAGCUAGUUGGUGAGGUAAUGGCUUACCAAGGCGACGAUCAGUAGCUGGUCUGAGAGGACGAUCAGCCACACUGGGACUGAGACACGGCCCAGACUCCUACGGGAGGCAGCAGUGAGGAAUUUUCCGCAAUGGGUGAAAGCCUGACGGAGCAAUACCGCGUGAAGGAUGACGGCCCGUGGGUUGUAAACUUC
rnacentral:rRNA from 1 species